rnacentral:rRNA from 1 species
CAGCUCUUCAAGUGGUCGGGAUAAUUAUUGGGCUUAAAGUGUCCGUAGCCGGUUUAGUAAGUUCCUGGUAAAAUCGAGUAGCUUAACUAUUCGUAUGCUAGGAAUACUGCUAAUACUAGAGGGCGGGAGAGGUCUGAGGUACUACUGGGGUAGGGGUGAAAUCUUAUAAUCCUAGUAGGACCACCAGUGGCGAAGCCGUCAGACUGGAACGCGCCUGACGGUGAGGGACGAAAGCCAGGGGAGCGAACCGGAUUAGAGACCCGAGUAGUCC